rnacentral:rRNA from 1 species
UGCGUAGGCGGUUAGUUAAGUCUGUUGUGAAAUCCCCGGGCUCAACCUGGGAAUGGCAAUGGAAACUGGCUAGCUAGAGUGUGUCAGAGGAUGGUGGAAUUUCCGGUGUAGCGGUGAAAUGCGUAGAGAUCGGAAGGAACAUCAGUGGCGAAGGCGGCCAUCUGGGACAACACUGACGCUGAAGCACGAAAGCGUGGGAGGCAAACA